AAAAAUAUAAUCAAUUCAAAACAGUCAUUUGUUUAGAGUUAGCCAAAACAACUCUAAAACUGCUGAGGGCGAUGUAACGGGAUCCGUUCCACCCAGCUGGACUUCCUCAUACCGGCGCCGCGGUUCGCCUUCUGGGUCGGAUUAUUUACGCUCAGAAUAAAGAUGAAAACCUGCAGCUCCAGUUUGGAUGACGCACAAACUCCUGCAUGGCUCAGUCUGCUCCCCUGAACAACCCGCCAAGGCUCCAGAGCGACCCGAUCAUCGCUGCACCAGAUCUGACGUCCGUGUUGCUGAUUGUGAUGAGUUUCUCUGGAAACGUCAGGAAACCUGAGAGUUAAAGCUAAACCCAAACCGUAACAACAGGCAUCAGGCGAUAAUAAUGAAGACGUUGAGGUGAUGGAGGGAAACAAGCCUUUUAGUUCCAGAUGUUCUGCAUUCCGGGCGUACCGAACCAAACCCCGCGCCGCCGCCUUUCAAGCUGCACGGAAACGAUCUCUGGGAUGAACUUCGUUAACCCGGCACCGAGCGGACGGGCCAAACGGAUCCCGACCCGCUCUGCUCACUGCGGCGUUCCACAGGGAUCCGUUUUCAGCCCUCUGACUUCUGACCAUAUUCCUGUUGUUGUUUUGCUGGUGAUAUCCAGGUGUUUUUCACACUUCUUCCAAAUGAAGUUUAAAAACUCUGGAUUCAAUUAUUGAAGAAAGAUGAGAAAAACCAUCGGUAGAGAUGAAGCAGGUCCUCGACUCUCCUGGUGAUUUUAGUUCAAUCUUUGGUUAAAAACCUUCAAAUGACCUUCAGCUCUCAACCAUACUGUGUUUUCCAGAAACAGAAAUCUACCUCCAGGUUCUAGUCUGUUCUGGUCUGGAUGACUGUCGCUCCGAGCGCCUCACCAGAACCUCACCAGAACCUCACCAGAACCUCACCAGAACCUCACCAGAACCUCCCUGAAGGUUCCCGUCGCUCCAACAUUGAAGGUUUAUUGUCUGCAGGUUUUAUUGCUGUUGUUUGUUAAAAAUAUCUCAAAAUUACAGCAUAAUGACAAACAUACACAUGGACUCUGUUUUCAUUCAAACCGGUCAGUUUCACACCAGUCGGGUUUCAACUCAUCACCUGAAAAAUGCUUUUUAAGAAGUUUUGUUACUUUUUCCUUUUACUUGAGUAUUUUUGUUAUAAAGUAUUUCUUCUCUUACUUGAGAAAAAUUUCUGUAUUUUCUUCCCACUGAAUGAAAAACAAAAUAAAGUGAAAAUCCUGCAGACGGA